CCGUGCGAAGGUAGCGCAAUCACUUGUCUUUUAAAUGGAGACCUGUAUGAAUGGCAUAACGAGGGCUUAGCUGUCUCCUCUUUCCAGUCAAUGAAAUUGAUCUCCCCGUGCAGAAGCGGGGAUACGUACAUAAGACGAGAAGACCCUAUGGAGCUUUAGACACCAAAGCAGACCAUGUUAAACACCCCAAAACAAAGGACCAAACCAAAUGAUCCCUGCCCUAAUGUCUUUGGUUGGGGCGACCGCGGGGAAACACAAAACCCCCACGUGGAAUGAGAACACCUCCUCUCACAACCAAGAGCUCCCGCUCUACUGAACAGAAAUUCUGACCAAUCAGAUCCGGCAUAAGCCGAUCAACGGACCGAGUUACCCUAGGGAUAACAGCGCAAUCCCCUUUUAGAGGCCAUAUCGACAAGGGGG
rnacentral:rRNA from 1 species